UACGAAGGGGGCUAGCGUUGCUCGGAAUUACUGGGCGUAAAGGGAGCGUAGGCGGACUGUUAAGUUAGAGGUGAAAGCCCAGGGCUCAACCUUGGAAUUGCCUUUGAUACUGGCAGUCUUGAGUACGGAAGAGGUAUGUGGAACUCCGAGUGUAGAGGUGAAAUUCGUAGAUAUUCGGAAGAACACCAGUGGCGAAGGCGACAUACUGGUCCGUUGCUGACGCUGAGGCUCGAAAGCGUGGGGGAGCAAACAGGAUUAGAUACCCUGGUAGUCCACGCCGUAAACGAUGAGUGCUAGUUGUCGGCAUGCAUGCAUGUCGGUGACGCAGCUAACGCAUUAAGCACUCCGCCUGGGGAGUACGGUCGCAAGAUUAAAACUCAA
rnacentral:rRNA from 1 species